rnacentral:rRNA from 1 species
AGCGUAGGUGGGCUGGUAAGUCAGUGGUGAAAUCCCCGAGCUUAACUUGGGAACUGCCAUUGAUACUAUCAGUCUUGAAUACCGUGGAGGUCAGCGGAAUAUGUCAUGUAGCGGUGAAAUGCUUAGAUAUGACAUAGAACACCAAUUGCGAAGGCAGCUGGCUACACGAUUAUUGACACUGAGGCUCGAAAGCGUGGGGAUCAAACA